GAUGAACGCUAGCUACAGGCUUAACACAUGCAAGUCGAGGGGAAACGAUAUUGGAAGCUUGCUUCCGAUAGGCGUCGACCGGCGCACGGGUGAGUAACGCGUAUCCAACCUGCCCAUCACUUGGGGAUAACCUUGCGAAAGUAAGACUAAUACCCAAUGGCGUCUCUAGAAGACAUCUGAAAGAGAUUAAAGAUUUAUCGGUGAUGGAUGGGGAUGCGUCUGAUUAGCUUGUUGGCGGGGUAACGGCCCACCAAGGCGACGAUCAGUAGGGGUUCUGAGAGGAAGGUCCCCCACAUUGGAACUGAGACACGGUCCAAAACUCCUACGGGAGGCAGCAGUGAGGAAUAUUGGUCAAAUGGACGAGAGUCUGAACCGGCCAAGUAGCGUGCAGGAAGACGGCCCUAUGGGUUGUAAACUGCUUUUAUAAGGGAAUAAAGUGAGUCUCGUGAGACUUUUUGCAUGUACCUUAUGAAUAAGGACCGGCUAAUUCCGUG
rnacentral:rRNA from 1 species